GAUGAACGCUGGCGGCGUGCCUAACACAUGCAAGUCGAGGGGCAGCAUGAACUUAGCUUGCUAAGUUUGAUGGCGACCGGCGCACGGGUGAGUAACACGUAUCCAACCUGCCGAUGACUCGGGGAUAGCCUUUCGAAAGAAAGAUUAAUACCCGAUGGCAUAGUUCUUCCGCAUGGUAGAACUAUUAAAGAAUUUCGGUCAUCGAUGGGGAUGCGUUCCAUUAGGUUGUUGGCGGGGUAACGGCCCACCAAGCCUUCGAUGGAUAGGGGUUCUGAGAGGAAGGUCCCCCACAUUGGAACUGAGACACGGUCCAA
rnacentral:rRNA from 1 species